CAGAGCAAGAGAAGAGGAAAAGCUUGAAGCUAACGGAUUUGCCGGAUUAACUCAGGUAAGGGGGGUUUAUCAUCGAUUAACGGGUAUUAUGGGAUAGUAUGUGAUGGGUAGUGAGAAACCAUUGAAAUUGCCUCUGAUUGAAUGAUAUAUGUGAUGAACUUGUGACUUAUUGAUGAACGAAUUUGGGUGAUGAUUGAUGAGAAAUUCGUAGGAAUUAGAGGUAGAAAGGUUAACAAUUUGUGAAAUCGAAAAUGUAUGAUUCGUGUUAGAUGUUAUGUGUAAUAUUGUGUGAAAUUUGGACUGUGGAAGGGUAAAUUGGAUAGAUCUCGUAGCAGAGAAAGCCAUUGCAGAUCUGAGAGUUCUGGUUUCUGGUCAUACGCGUAUGGCACUAGGCAAUACGCGUAUGAGAUGGCUGGUACGCGUAUGGCACUAGGCAAUACGCGUAUGGAUGAGGAAGAUGAUGUUUUGAACGUGUUUUGGUCUCUGUUGGUACGCGUAUGGGAAUGUGAUACGCGUAGCAUACGCGUAUGGGCGUGGGCAUUACGCGUAUGGAUUUGGUCAGGCGUGGGCAAUACGCGUAUGGGCAUAGGCAAUACGCGUAUGGGCAGAAUUGUGAUUUUCUGUGCUGUUGUUGUGCAGUUUUUGGUUGUUUAGGCUGAGUGAUGUACUUAGCUGAUGUAUGAUGUAGCAGGGAUCAUUUCCCGUUGUUUUGAGUAGUAUAGGUAUUAGUAGAAUGUGCUAAUACUGUAUUUGAUUAUGUGGCAUGAUGUGAUAUGCUUUUGUGAUAAAAUGUAUUGAUGAUGUGUGAUGGUAAGCAUGAUGCUGUGAAUGUAUCAGUUAUGUAUGCAUUUGUGAAUAGACUGUUUUAUGGCUUAGAGUGUGAGCUUAUGUCUAUUCUUGAAUUGUUGCUGUUGUUGUUGCAUUGCUAGGUGAUUAGCAUGCAUAGUCUAGCCUUUGGGGCUGUAGCUAAUUCCCAUGGUGAGGAAUUAGUGAGUGAAUCAUUGUUGAUUUGUUGUUGAUGUUUGCAUGCUAGAUGAUUAGUGUGCAUAGUCUAGCCUUCGGGGCUGUAGCUAAUUCCCAUGGUGAGGAAUUAGUGAGUGAGUCAUUAGAUCUCAAAUGAGUGGGACUAGUGAGCUUAGUAGCCGUAUCUGGAUUUGAUCGGUGAGCUUGAACUGUAUGUUCAAGAAUAGUCGGUACCGCAUGUGUGGAGUCUCAUUUCAUAAUGAAUGUAUGGCAUAUAAUAUGAAUGGAUGUAUUCCAGUAUUAUAUGUGUGUUAUGUGUUGUGUUGUUGAUGUUGAGUAUGGUUGAGAUUAUACAUAUGCUAUAUGUUACUGUUGAAUAUGAUGUUUGAAUGGAUAUUGCCGUUGCUGAGUGCGUAGUCUGAUUAGGGUGAAUUGAUGUGUUAAUUACUUAGCAUUACAUGUUGUUCUAUAAUGCUUAUUAUAUUGAUUGAGGAACUCACCCUUACAACUAUUUUUCAGGUAACGAGCAGUGAGUUGAGUAGAAGCUAGUGCUAUGGAGUCUAGUGUCGUCCUUAGUGGGUCAUGCUCUGGUAGAUGUAACAUCGGGAGGGGAUGUUUGAAUAUGUUUUAAUUCAGUUGUUGAUCAACUUUACAUGUAAUGUAGUACAUGCUUUGAAUGUCGAUGUUUUGUAUCCGCUGCGAAUUAUGCAAAAGAGUCUUAUUUGAUUAAAUAAAUGAGCAUGACAGGAUAUUUU
rnacentral:lncRNA from 1 species